ensembl:snRNA U6 U6 spliceosomal RNA
GUGCUCACUUCAGCAGUGCAUAUACUAAAUUUGGAACUAUACAAAGAGAUUGGCAUGGGCCCUGUGUAAGAAUGGCAUGAAAAUUCAUGAAACAGUCCAUAUUUAA